rnacentral:tRNA from 1 species
GGGCUCGUAGCGCAGAGGUCGUCGCGUCGGUCUCCAGAACCGAAGGACACCGGUUCGAAUCCGGUCGGUCCG